ACGGGAGGCAGCAGUGGGGGAUAUUGCACAAUGGGGGGAACCCUGAUGCAGCGACGCCGCGUGAGCGAAGAAGAUCUUCGGAUUGUAAAGCUCUGUCUUAGGGGACGAUAAUGACGGUACCCUGAGAGGAAGCCACGGCUAACUACGUGCCAGCAGCCGCGGUAAUACGUAGGUGGCAAGCGUUGUCCGGAAUUACUGGGUGUAAAGGGAGUGUAGGCGGGACUGUAAGUCAGAUGUGAAAUAUGCCGGCUCAACUGGCAGACUGCAUUUGAAACUGCGGUUCUUGAGUGAAGUAGAGGUAAGCGGAAUUCCUAGUGUAGCGGUGAAAUGCGUAGAUAUUAGGAGGAACAUCAGUGGCGAAGGCGGCUUACUGGGCUUUAACUGACGCUGAGGCUCGAAAGCGUGGGGAGCAAACAGGAUUAGAUACCCUGGUA
rnacentral:rRNA from 1 species